AUUUUAAUGAUUACAAAAUAUUAGAGCACAAAAUUAGAUUAAUAUUUUUCAAGUGUCUUAAAGAAUAUUUUUGUAGAAAGAAAGCACCGAUGAAAAAGGUUGAAAAUAUUUGAGUAAAAAAAAUCAGUUUUGGAGCCAAGACACUUAAGAAAAGCCUCUUUGAAGAAGUCGAGUCGACUUAUCCUUGAACCGAGCUGACUCCAGCACAAACUGGCCAC
rnacentral:lncRNA from 1 species